UUAAUUUUGUCCUUCAUAAAUAAGAAAUUACCAUUUUUUUAAGAGACUAGAGGGUGAAUCCUUCAAAAUGGGAAGAAGCACUGAUUAUCGAUAAAUAUGUGGAAUGCGCCUGAGAAUCCAAGAUGCUUUUCGGUACUGAUAGUUGCUGCUCAGAGUCUUAAUUAGAUGGAAAACUGUGAUUGGAAGAACAGACCGUUUGAAGGAAAAAAUAUUCAUUCAAGUAAAUAACUUAAGAAAAACAAAGUAACACUAAAAAUCAUUUUUAACUUCUCCCUGAAACACAGGCAUUAGGCUAAUAUUUCAGUACAAAUAUAUUUAAUUGAGACGCAUGGAUGGAGAUAAGAAGAGGUAACUUACAUCAUGCUUAUUGAUCUCCAUUUCCAAGCAUUCGGCAUUUCACUCCUCAACAACCCCUUCGGUUCAAUAAUCUUCUUCUAUAACCUCAG
rnacentral:lncRNA from 1 species